rnacentral:rRNA from 1 species
AGUGGGGAAUAUUGCGCAAUGGGCGAAAGCCUGACGCAGCGACGCCGCGUGAGGGACGAAGGCCUUCGGGUUGUAAACCUCUUUCAGCAGGGACGAAGCGAAAGUGACUGUACCUGCAGAAGAAGCACCGGCUAACUACGUGCCAGCAGCCGCGGUAAUACGUAGGGUGCAAGCGUUGUCCGGAAUUAUUGGGCGUAAAGAGCUCGUAGGCGGCCUGUUGCGUCGAUUGUGAAAACCCGGGGCUCAACCCCGGGCCUGCGUUCGAUACGGGCAGGCUAGAGUACGGCAGGGGAGACUGGAAUUCCUGGUGUAGCGGUGAAAUGCGCAGAUAUCAGGAGGAACACCGGUGGCGAAGGCGGGUCUCUGGGCCGUUACUGACGCUGAGGAGCGAAAGCGUGGGGAGCGAA